rnacentral:rRNA from 1 species
AGCAGUUUAGAUUAUGGCCGUACCACCUUGAACAUGCCUACUGUCUGGUCCCAAGAAGUUAAGCAGGGUCAGGGCUGGUUAGUGCUUGGCUGGGAAGGAGAAAGCAGCUUAGGUUGCUC